rnacentral:rRNA from 1 species
AUUGAACGCUGGCGGCAUGCUUUACACAUGCAAGUCGAACGGUAACAGGGUGCUUGCACCGCUGACGAGUGGCGAACGGGUGAGUAAUGCGUCGGAACGUGCCGAGUAGUGGGGGAUAACGCAUCGAAAGGUGUGCUAAUACCGCAUACGUACUGAGGUAGAAAGUGGGGGACCUUCGGGCCUCACGCUAUUCGAGCGGCCGACGUCUGAUUAGCUAGUUGGUGAGGUAAAGGCUCACCAAGGCGACGAUCAGUAGCGGGUCUGAGAGGAUGGUCCGCCAAACUGGGACUGAGACACGGCCCAGACUCCUACGGGGGGCAGCAGGGGGGAAUUUUGGACAAUGGGCGCAAGCCUGAUUCAGCCAUGCCGCGUGUCUGAAGAAGGCCUUCGGGUUGUAAAGGACUUUUGUCCGGGAGCAAAUGCCUGGUGUUAAUAGCACUGAGAGCUGAGAGUACCGGAAGAAUAAGCACCGGCUAACUACGUGCCAGCCGCCGCCGUAAUAC